UGAACGGCCGGCGGCCCUCGGCGGGGCCCGGGGCUGCGCGGGGCGGCGCGGCCGCCAGAUGGCGAUCGUCAGAUCAAUGUCAAAGCCGCCGGCCGAGGGGAGCAGCCCGGCGGAAUCUUGGCCUUUGUUCACUUCGCGGCCGCACGCUCAAUUAGCGCGAGGGACCCGGCGGAGGUCGGGCCGCGGGGCUCCGGCGUGGGCAAUGCGCGGAGCGAUUAAAGAAAGCGGAGAUAAUGCGGCUCCGAGCGGAGUUCACGAUCGAGGCGGAGGUGCCCCGGCCGCCACCCGGCGCGGCGCUGCGGACCCAACGAGCGGCCCCGACCGGCGCUCCCGACGGCAGAUCCCGCACGACCGGACCGCUGCCUUCGGACAGAGGCACCGAAGGCCGAGCCCCGACCCCUGCGCCGUCGAAGCCACGGGGAGGAAGAAGAGAGAGGCUAAAACUCAAGUGUUCUUCUUCCGAAUCGCCUCUGUCCUCCGCGCCUUUUGUCUGAUGUAGUCUGCGUUAGCUCUCGAGGAGGUGGAAGCAGCCAACUCGCAUUUUGUGCCCUUUUUAUUCAGGAGGAUCGCAGAGCUUUUUUACGGGCCUUUCCCCGCUUUAAUCCGAUUUUUUAAAGGGAACCGCUAGUUUUAAAAACAGCUUUGGAAGGAUUUCAAGUGUUACUCCUCGAUUCCGUACGGUUUUUAGGUUUGCAGUCCAUUCCUAUUUAAUUUGGCAAAUGCAAAACAAACAUACCGCAAGAGCGGACUUCCCCGGAGUAAUUUUUAUACCUGACUUGUGCAGAGAAAUGUAUUGGGAGCGUGGAGCUGGGGCUCACGUUUCACUUUAUUUAGAUCUGCAUUUAUAACGCUAAGCCUAUUGAUAAUAGCCUUCCUCUAUAGGAACCAAUAAAAUGGUUCCUUGCACGGUAUUAAUUUUGUUAGCGGUGAUACGGCCCUCAUAGGAAUCUGAUAAGGGUUUGUCCAUCACGCGUUAACACGUCUCGCAUUUGGGGAGCACAAACGGUAUUAGGGGAGGAAACGUGGGGACAACCUCGGAGGGUUUCUGCAGGCUGUCGGGCCCCCUCCUAUCCCCCAUCCGACAGGCGGUCCCGCUCGGCACUCAAGGGUAAGCUCGAGAACGCUGGGAAUAUAGGGCGCCUUUCCAUCAAGGUUUUAUGGCGACUGUGAAGUUGUAACGACCUCUCCCUGCCGCAGCCUUCCAGUUGACGAGGACGGAGCCUCGGGAGGGCCCCAGCAGCGCGGCUUGCUCGCUCGUGUCCCGUUGCCCCAGAACUACCGGUCCGGAGC
rnacentral:lncRNA from 1 species